GCGCGAGUGGUGAAAUUGGCAGACACGCAGGAUUUAGGUUCCUGUGCCUUCGGGCGUGGGGGUUCAAGUCCCCCCUUGCGCA
rfam:Arthrobacter sp. ZBG10 contig_41, whole genome shotgun sequence.